AGAGUUUGAUCCUGGCUCAGGAUGAACGCUAGCGGCAGGCCUAAUACAUGCGAGUCGAACGGUGUAGCAAUACAUAGUGGCGCACGGGUGCGUAACACGUAUGCAACCUACCUUAUACUGGGGGAUAGCCUUUGGAAACGGAGAUUAAUACCCCAUAGUACAUUUGAUUGGCAUCAAUUAAAUGUUAAAGAUUUAUCGGUAUAAGCUGGGCAUGCGUCCAAUUAGUUAGUUGGUGAGGUAAUGGCUCACCAAGACUUUGAUUGGUAGGGGAACUGAGAGGUUAAUCCCCCACACUGGCACUGAGAUACGGGCCAGACUCCUACGGGAGGCAGCAGUAGGGAAUAUUGGGCAAUGGAGGCAACUCUGACCCAGCCAUGCCGCGUGCAGGAAGAAGGCGUUAUGCGUUGUAAACUGCUUUUAUAUAGGAAGAAAUAGUCCUUGCGAGGAAAGUUGACGGUACUAUAUGAAUAAGCACCGGCUAACUCCGUGCCAGCAGCCGCGGUAAUACGGAGGGUGCAAGCGUUGUCCGGAUUUAUUGGGUUUAAAGGGUGCGUAGGCGGUUUAUUAAGUCAGUGGUGAAAGACGGUCGCUNCACGAUUGCAGUGCCAUUGAUACUGGUA
rnacentral:rRNA from 1 species